UACGUAGGGGGCAAGCGUUGUCCGGAUUUAUUGGGCGUAAAGAGCGUGUAGGCGGCUAGGUAGGUCCGUUGUGAAAACUCGAGGCUCAACCUCGAGACGUCGAUGGAAACCAUCUGGCUAGAGUCCGGAAGAGGAGAAUGGAAUUCCCGGGUGUAGCGGUGAAAUGCGCAGAUAUCGGGAAGAACACCCGUGGCGAAGGCGGUUCUCUGGGACGGUACUGACGCUGAGACGCGAAAGCGUGGGGAGCGAACAGG
rnacentral:rRNA from 1 species